rnacentral:piRNA from 1 species
UUCAUUUUUCUUGGUAGACUU